GCAGUGCUGUGUGCACAGUGUCAGUCUGUGAUUUGGGGGGCAGCUCGCUUGCGUCUUGCAUUCUGGCUGCUCCUCUCAUACAAAUCCUGCGGCCGCAGACCAACCUGAGAUCAUAGUACUGGUCUAGUGACGUCCCCUGGACAAUACCUGCACUGGCCAGCCUCCAAUCCCUCAGACAUGG